UAUAAAGUAUACAUUCACCCUAUGGCUCUCUUCGCUUCAACAUUGAUUCCCAGCGUCUCUCACUUAUUGUUUCAACAUAAAAUCCCUAUGCAAAUCUAUGCUUAAGCUCCAUCACCGAAUUCCUCCCCAAAUUCGAGUUCAGCGUUCAUCCUCACCAAAUCAAAAUUGACGAUUCCACACCGAAGUCAAGGUCAGAUCAAGAACAUCGUUCGUAAAGCAACAAAAGUGACGCAGAAAACAUGACCUCAAUAUCAAUCCCCUUACCGAAGUCGAAUCUUGCAUUCAUCGUUCAUACUCCAAUCAUCUUCGUGCGCGUGGAAUCAGGACGAACAGAAUCGAAGCUAAGUCGUGAUUGAAUCGAAUUUUGCAUGCAUAAUUGAAAAGGAACAAAAACCGAAUCGGAGGGAGAAUACUAACCGCAAUGGAGAUGCGAUGCACACAGGGCUGCAAUUGUCAUGCUUGAAUGAACAUUUUGGUCAUGGUUUGCAUGGAUUCAAGGGGUAUUCUGACUUGUUCUUGGUUCUGCAGGUUGACUUGCUCAAGUUAGGUUCAUGGCAUGAUGGCAUUGAAGAUAAUGUGCAAAUGGCCAAAUCAAAAUCAAGAUGGAAUUGGAAAAUGGGAUUAGAACUAGGAUCGGAGAUUUAGUGCUUUUAGGAUGGAAAAGAAUUUGGGUUGACUUUGGUUAAAGUUGACCAAAGUCAACAUUUGGUCAACAUGUAUUUUUUUUUUUUGCAUUUUUGUAUGUGUUAAGAAGUAUGGUUGGGUCUAACUCAAGCCUACAAAACCGAUUGGUAAAGUGAGGACUGCCCCCACUUAUAAACAAAUGUUCAGGCCAUAUAUUGUCUGAUGUGGAACUCUUAACACCCCCCUUCAUGCCCAGGACUGGACAUCUAGAGCGUGGAAAUAAAUGGUGGGUGGUCCGAUAGCGGAAACCAUAAUAGGAGGCCCACCGGAUCUUAAACGAGAUUCUUGAUACCAGUUGAGAAAAUCCUUGUGUACCGGUAAAUUCAUGACCAUCAAGUUAUGGGUGAGUUUAACGUCGAUAAAAUCAGAGUCGCCACCGCGUUUUUAUUGUUUCCAAAGGAAAAGAGAAAAGUACGAACAAAGCCCAAAUAUUAGAAGUUUUCAAAUUAAGAGUAAUAAAAUGCUAGAGAUUACAGGUAAGGGGGUUGGUUACACAGAAGAAAUGUGUUAGCACCCAAAGUGUCCUAGGUACUCUUAAAGAGCUCUUUUUAUGUGUGUAUGUGUUUUUUGGUAUAAAAGAUGUUUGAGAAAAAUAGAGUGUAGGGAUGAGAAAAUAAUUCAUUGAUUAUAUUUUUGUAUUUGACAA